CGUCGUCCUGCACAAACCCCCAAAACCCUACCGCCGCCGCCGCCGCCACCAUGUCCUCGGCGCCGUCUCCGGCGAGCCGCCGGCCCCUGGGCCCGCUGGCGCUGGGGCUGGAGUCCUCGGCCAACAAGAUCGGCAUCGGCGUGGUCUCCCUCUCUGGCGAGAUCCUCUCCAACCCGCGCCACACCUACGUGACCCCGCCGGGCCACGGCUUCCUUCCCCGCGAGACCGCGCAGCACCACCUGGUGCACCUCCUCCCGCUCCUCCGCGCCGCGCUCGCCGACGCCGGCGUCGCCCCCGCCGACCUCGCCUGCGUCUGCUACACUAAAGGCCCCGGCAUGGGCGGCCCGCUCCAGGUGGCCGCCGCGGCCGCCCGCGCGCUCUCCCUCCUCUGGAGGAAGCCGCUCGUGGCGGUCAACCACUGCGUCGCGCACAUCGAGAUGGGGCGCGCGGUCACGGGGGCCGUGGACCCCGUCGUGCUCUACGUCUCCGGGGGGAACACGCAGGUCAUCGCCUACAGCGAAGGGAGGUACAGGAUCUUCGGAGAGACUAUCGAUAUCGCAGUUGGGAACUGCCUCGACCGCUUUGCCAGGGUCCUUGAGCUCUCCAAUGACCCUAACCCAGGGUAUAACAUCGAGCAGCUUGCAAAGAAGGGGGAAAAAUUCAUUGAUCUCCCAUAUGUUGUAAAGGGUAUGGAUGUGUCAUUUAGUGGCAUAUUGAGCUUUAUUGAAGCUGCAGCGAUCGAAAAGCUUAAAAAUAAUGAGUGCACACCAGCGGACCUAUGCUACUCACUGCAGGAAACUGUCUUUGCCAUGCUUGUUGAAAUUACUGAACGUGCCAUGGCACAUUGUGAUUCAAAGGACGUUCUUAUUGUUGGUGGUGUUGGUUGCAAUGAACGUUUACAAGAGAUGAUGAGGAUUAUGUGCUCAGAAAGAGGGGGUAGGCUGUUCGCAACUGAUGACCGCUAUUGUAUAGACAAUGGGGCAAUGAUUGCAUACACUGGUUUACUGGCGUAUGCACAUGGUGUGACCACUCCCCUGGAGGAGUCAACAUUUACACAAAGAUUCCGAACUGAUGAGGUCCAAGCGAUUUGGAGGGAGAAGGAGAUGCCUGUGUUGAGUAAUAUCCAUGCAGAUGCAAUGGCUGAAGUAUCCAAGGAUGAAGCCUCUAUGCCAACUCCAAUCAUUGUAGAUUCCUGAGGUAGUAAAUGCUUAAACAGGAGAGUGUAGGAGCAUGCAUGCAUGAGAUGCCUUUGCUUGCUGGUUUGGAGGAAGCCUCGAGGCUCAUGGCCGGCGACUAGUACUACCGCGUGGUAGUAUGAGCCUCUCAGUUGCAAAGCAUUUACAGCAAGAUACUGAUCUGCAACCUGGUAAAAUGAAUGUGUUGUGCUCCUAUGCCACAUUCGCACGUGCCAAUAGCUGACAGUGAUCAAACUCAGCAAUAUUCUGGCGGUGACCUUUUUACCUCCCAUUACGUUAUGCAGCUCAUGGUAUGCUGGUUGCUGGACGUGCCUCUUGAUGCCCAACUGAUUGUGUAUGGCAAAUUGGCAAGUGGGUCCUGGUCCUGGUAUGCGUGGUGGCCACGCCCCCCGGAUUCUGCUUGUAUGCUGGAUUUUUUUUCAACCUGGUAUGCCAACGUGGUGGUCACCAGGUUGCUUUUAUGCAACCUGUGAUGGAUUUUUUUUGUUCAUUAUGCUGUGAAGUCUAACAGAUGUCUUGUAAGUCUUCGGGUGUGUUUAGUUUGCGAAAAAGUUUGUGUUUUAGUAUUGUAGCAUAUUUUGUUGUUAUUGUUUAAUCAUGGACUAAUUAGCUUUAAAAGAUUCAUCUCGUAUGAAA